AGUGAACGCUGGCGGUAGGCCUAACACAUGCAAGUCGAACGGCAGCACAGAGGAGCUUGCUCCUUGGGUGGCGAGUGGCGGACGGGUGAGGAAUACAUCGGAAUCUACUCUGUCGUGGGGGAUAACGUAGGGAAACUUACGCUAAUACCGCAUACGACCUACGGGUGAAAGCAGGGGAUCUUCGGACCUUGCGCGAUUGAAUGAGCCGAUGUCGGAUUAGCUAGUUGGCGGGGUAAAGGCCCACCAAGGCGACGAUCCGUAGCUGGUCUGAGAGGAGGGUCGGCCACACUGGAACGGAGACACGGUCCAGACUCCUACGGGAGGAAGCAGUGGGGAAUAUUGGACAAUGGGCGCAAGCCUGAUCCAGCCAUACCGCGUGGGUGAAGAAGGCCUUCGGGUUGUAAAGCCCUUUUGUUGGGAAAGAAAUCCAUCUGGUUAAUACCCGGGUGGGAUGACGGUACCCAAAGAAUAAGCACCGGCUAACUUCGUGCCAGCCGCCGCCGUAA
rnacentral:rRNA from 1 species